UAAACCACACAAAUAAUAAUAAUAAUAAUAAUAAUAAUAAAAACCAUCCAUCCACGACAGUUGCGGUGACUCUAUAAAAAAUAAAAAAUAAAAAUAAAAAAUAAAAAUAAAAAUAAUGAAAAAAAAACCACACACAAAAAACGUCACUAACUUUAGUCCAGCCAAAAUGGCGAGUACCGGUUUCCCGUUACUUUUGGCCACCCUGGCCUCACUCCUGGUCGCUCCGGUCCGGUCGGGCUGCCGCCGCGUCCCUCCGUGUUGUCCUCCCAGCUCUUAUUACCAGCAGUGGCUAUGGCAACGCCAGGAAGAAGAGACACAUCCCCGACGGCAACGACACUAUUGGGUACCACGUCCAGACAGUUCGUGCAAAUCGGUAUUGUGUGCGGUUUGAGCUGAGCUCCAUGAGCAAAGGAUGUCAGCAAAGCGCAUGUCCCCACACCCGCUGGAUGCGGCACCGCCCGCUCUCCCUGCUGGACACAAGCACUGUGGAGGAGGUGGAGGAGAUGGAGGGAUGAGUAGCGAGGAGGACAGAAACAAACCAACCUUUGACAUGAAACUGCUCGUGGCUAGGAACAAGCCAUGUCUACCACUAGAUGGCCACAUUGCUGAGCAUAUUGGAUGCAAAGUUGAAGCACCGCCUGUCUCCCCGUGCAGGAGGCAGCUUCUCCAGUGGCAGGCUGUGGGAAACCCCCAAUGUAGAGGUGUGCGGGGAGGAUGAAGGCCUGCUCCUGCCCCACGGCCCUCAGCUUCCUGUUCAUAUGACCUCCAACGCACACCAGUUUGCAGGGUGUCCUCACUGUAUGAGGGUCCCGAGAUACGACGUUUCAAGGCUAUGAAUGGCAUCCCCAGUUACUGGCGUACUUAGUGUUUUUCAUUUGCUCAUUUCAUAUCUAUGGCGUAGAAGUGCAUUUCAUACAAAAUGUUUACUGUAAUUAUGACUUUACUAGUACGUCGGUCGAAAACAGAGGACCUCCGCAGUAUGCUGUUAUUGUAUCGCCAAAUACAAAAAGUGUCAUAAAUAAUAAUGAAAACAAACAAACAAAAAAUUAUAUCACAGUCUAGGAAUACAAUUCUUGCCACCCAUAAAUACUCGUGUCACAAAUGACCAGGACAAAAAUUGUAGAAUUUGCACCAAAAUGCACUGGAAUGAGUAGAAACCUUAUAGAUAAAAAGUAAAAACAAAAACAAAACACAAAAACACUAAUAAAUAAAAACAAUAAAUACAACAAAUAAAUAAAAAUACAUACACAACAUAUUUUGGGGGUCCUUGAAA